rnacentral:rRNA from 1 species
AGAGUUUGAUCCUGGCUCAGGACGAACGCUGGCGGCACGCUUAACACAUGCAAGUCGAACGAGAGAAGAGGAGCUUGCUUUUCUGAUCUAGUGGCGGACGGGUGAGUAACACGUGAGCAAUCUGCCUUUCAGAGGGGGAUACCGAUUGGAAACGAUCGUUAAUACCGCAUAACAUAAUUGAACCGCAUGAUUUGAUUAUCAAAGAUUUAUCGCUGAAAGAUGAGCUCGCGUCUGAUUAGCUAGUUGGUAAGGUAACGGCUUACCAAAGCGACGAUCAGUAGCCGGACUGAGAGGUUGAUCGGCCACAUUGGGACUGAGACACGGCCCAGACUCCUACGGGAGGCAGCAGUGGGGAAUAUUGCACAAUGGAGGAAACUCUGAUGCAGCGAUGCCGCGUGAGGGAAGAAGGUUUUAGGAUUGUAAACCUCUGUCUUCAGGGACGAAAAAAGACGGUACCUGAGGAGGAAGCUCCGGCUAACUACGUGCCAGCAGCCGCGGUAAUACGUAGGGAGCGAGCGUUGUCCGGAAUUACUGGGUGUAAAGGGAGCGUAGGCGGGAUCGCAAGUCAGAUGUGAAAACUAUGGGCUUAACCCAUAAACUGCAUUUGAAACUGUGGUUCUUGAGUGAAGUAGAGGUAAGCGGAAUUCCUAGUGUAGCGGUGAAAUGCGUAGAUAUUAGGAGGAACAUCAGUGGCGAAGGCGGCUUACUGGGCUUUAACUGACGCUGAGGCUCGAAAGCGUGGGGAGCAAACAGGAUUAGAUACCCUGGUAGUCCACGCCGUAAACGAUGAUUACUAGGUGUGGGGGGACUGACCCCUUCCGUGCCGCAGCAAACGCAAUAAGUAAUCCACCUGGGGAGUACGACCGCGAGGUUGAAACUCAAAGGAAUUGACGGGGGCCCGCACAAGCAGUGGAGUAUGUGGAUUAAUUCGAAGCAACGCGAAGAACCUUACCAGGUCUUGACAUCGUAUGCAUAGCUCAGAGAUGAGUGAAAUCUCUUCGGAGACAUAUAGACAGGUGGUGCAUGGUUGUCGUCAGCUCGUGUCGUGAGAUGUUGGGUUAAGUCCCGCAACGAGCGCAACCCUUACUGUUAGUUGCUACGCAAGAGCACUCUAGCAGGACUGCCGUUGACAAAACGGAGGAAGGUGGGGAUGACGUCAAAUCAUCAUGCCCCUUAUGACCUGGGCCUCACACGUACUACAAUGGCUGUCAACAGAGGGAAGCAAAGCCGCGAGGUGGAGCGAACCCCUAAAAGCAGUCUUAGUUCGGAUUGUAGGCUGCAACCCGCCUACAUGAAGUCGGAAUUGCUAGUAAUCGCAGAUCAGCAUGCUGCGGUGAAUACGUUCCCGGGCCUUGUACACACCGCCCGUCACGCCAUGGGAGUCGGUAACACCCGAAGCCUGUAGUCUAACCGCAAGGAGGACGCAGUCGAAGGUGGGAUUGAUGACUGGGGUGAAGUCGUAACAAGGUA